AAAGCGUGCGCAGGCGGUUAUGUAAGACAGAUGUGAAAUCCCCGGGCUCAACCUGGGAACUGCAUUUGUGACUGCAUGGCUAGAGUACGGUAGAGGGGGAUGGAAUUCCGCGUGUAGCAGUGAAAUGCGUAGAUAUGCGGAGGAACACCGAUGGCGAAGGCAAUCCCCUGGACCUGUACUGACGCGUCAUGCACGAAAGCGUGGGGAGCAAACAGGAUUAGAUACCCUUG
rnacentral:rRNA from 1 species